rnacentral:lncRNA from 1 species
CACAGGUCUCAGAAUAUGGCAAAUUGUGCCCUAAAUGGUAUAAGGCUUCAUUGAUAGAGAAAUAGAGAAGAUUUUGUUUUGAAGAAUCCAUAGUGAGAUACUUCCAGGGAAGUGUGAACAACUUUGCAAGAAAUAAAUAGAGGAGAACUUGAAAAGGAUUGCUCCUCUCACAUGGACCACACCAAGUACUCUUCCUAGGAGAAUGAAACAUCACUUAGGAGACUAAAUUGAGACGGAUUGAGAAUUCACUUUAUUAGAAGAAACACCUUCAUUUUUC